CUGCGAAAGCCGGAUUAAUACCGCAUACGCUCUACGGAGGAAAGCGGGGGAUCUUCGGACCUCGCGCUCCAGGGGCGGCCGAUGGCGGAUUAGCUAGUUGGUGGGGUAAAGGCCUACCAAGGCGACGAUCCGUAGCUGGUCUGAGAGGACGACCAGCCACACUGGGACUGAGACACGGCCCAGACUCCUACGGGAGGCAGCAGUGGGGAAUUUUGGACAAUGGGGGCAACCCUGAUCCAGCAAUGCCGCGUGUGUGAAGAAGGCCUUCGGGUUGUAAAGCACUUUUGUCCGGAAAGAAAUCUUCUGGGUUAAUAUGUCUGGGGGAUGACGGUACCGGAAGAAUAAGCACCGGCUAACUACGUGCCAGCAGCCGCGGUAAUACGUAGGGUGCGAGCGUUAAUCGGAAUUACUGGGCGUAAAGCGUGCGCAGGCGGUUUGCUAAGACCGAUGUGAAAUCCCCGGGCUUAACCUGGGAACUGCAUUGGUGACUGGCGAGCUAGAGUAUGGCA
rnacentral:rRNA from 1 species